ACAAUGGUGGCUCAGUGGUAGGAAUCCCGUCUUCCAUGUGGGAGACCCAGGUUUGAUUCCUGGCCAGUGAA
rnacentral:tRNA from 1 species